GGAAGGGAUCAAACUCCGCUCCACCAUACAGAUUUAAGUGGGUUAGGGCUGGCCUGAUCCCCUCUGAUCUUGGAAGCUAAGCAGGGUCAGGCCUGGUUAGUACUUAGAUGGGAGACCACCUAGAAAGACCAGGUGCUAUAGACA
rnacentral:rRNA from 1 species